CCAUCUCACUAGUAUUUAUGAAAACCAUUUCGUUUCACAUUUGGGUACCAAAGUAAGAACAACAACAACAAUGGCCAAGUCUUAUUUACUUGUGUUUAUGGCGCUUCUCUUAGCUUCUGCAGCUCUGCAUGUCUCAUGUAAGAGCAGUACUCAAGAGCUGGCGUUUACAGAGACAGGUGGUGUUAACCACCAUGAUUUUUCUGGGUCAGAUCAGGUUCAUCGUAUGGCUGUUGAGGAGCAUUUGGAUUAUGAGGGUCCUGGUGCAAAUAACCCUCCACCACAUGCACUUUAAGGACAAAUGGCUUCUCCUUCGAGCUUUGGCUCUAAUGGCCGAUUGGGAUGUGAGAUAAUUUAUAUGUAAUAAAUGUUUUUAUGAAUAAAACCAGAAAAAAGUAUCAUUUCUUGUUUGCAUUUAAUUGCUUGGUCGGUAGAGACAGUGUGUCAUAGAUUCGCAUCUAGAUCUUAGAUAUUUGUGGGCCAUUGAAUGAGUAUUAAUGAUGGUGGGGUAUUAUUCAA